rnacentral:rRNA from 1 species
UGGGGAAUAUUGCACAAUGGGGGAAACCCUGAUGCAGCGACGCCGCGUGACGAAGAAGGUAUUCGUAUCGUAAAGUUCUGUCCUAUGGGAAGAUAAUGACAGUACCAUAGAAGAAAGCUCCGGCUAAAUACGUGCCAGCAGCCGCGGUAAUACGUAUGGAGCGAGCGUUGUCCGGAAUUAUUGGGCGUAAAGGGUACGCAGGCGGUUUAAUAAGUCGAAUGUUAAAGAUCGGGGCUCAACCCCGCAAAGCAUUGGAAACUGAUAAACUUGAGUAGUGGAGAGGAAAGUGGAAUUCCUAGUGUAGUGGUGAAAUACGUAGAUAUUAGGAGGAAUACCAGUAGCGAAGGCGACUUUCUGGACACAAACUGACGCUGAGGUACGAAAGCGUGGGGAGCAAACAGG